UGGCGCACGGGUGCGUAACGCGUAACCAACCUGCCCUUGACUGGGGGAUAGCCCGCCGAAAGGCGGAUUAAUACCGCAUAAAACCACGGCACGGCAUCGUGCCAUGGUUAAAGAUUUAUUGGUCAAGGAUGGGGUUGCGUGCCAUUAGCUAGUUGGGGGGGUAACGGCCCACCAAGGCGACGAUGGGUAGCUGGUCUGAGAGGACGACCAGCCACACUGGGACUGAGACACGGCCCAG
rnacentral:rRNA from 1 species